rnacentral:rRNA from 1 species
UACAGAGGGUGCGAGCGUUGUUCGGAAUUAUUGGGCGUAAAGGGCGCGUAGGCGGUGCGGUAAGUCACCUGUGAAAUCUCCUGGCUCAACUGGGAGCUUGCAGGCGAAACUGCCGUGCUGGAGUUCGGAAGAGGGUCGUGGAAUUCCCAGUGUAGAGGUGAAAUUCGUAGAUAUUGGGAAGAACACCAGUGGCGAAGGCGGCUCUCUGGACCGUAACUGACGCUGAGGCGCGAAAGCGUGGGGAGCAAACAGG